UACGGUCUAUACGUGAUGUGUGUAGCUCUGAAAGGUAGUCAAAUGUCUUUGUCAGGCUGUCAUAGAGAGGAAGCAGUUAGCGUCUGCGAUGUGUUCCUGCCAGUGCAACUGCAACAGCUUGUAUCUGCCAUUGACAUGUCAGUUUUCAGGGCUUUGAGCUGUCAGCCCUACUGCGCCCUUCUCAUCCCAGCAGAGAGCAAGAGAGCGGAAGAAAGAGGGUGUUUGUGUGCAGGUUGGCAAACUGCCAUAUUAGUGGCAAAUGAGAAUACAUGAUAAAAAAUAGAGAAAGGCAGUGAUGCACAUUUGCUCUUGAAGGACGUUGAGUCAUCUUAAGUACUGUUCAGAAUACAAAAUAACUUGGUCCAUCAGGACUUUCCUCCCUGCCAGAUCAAACCAUAAUUGCAGAACAACUAAAGUAAUGAGUCUUAAUAAAUAAGUGCAAAAAGAUGUUAUAAAAAUAUUGUUUUUCAGGAGUAGAUAUUAUUGUAAACAUUAGGGGGAAUGCACUAUGCAGUGUCCACAUAUGAGGGUCCGGUGUAGUCCUCUGUGUCUCCUCUGUGUCUCUCUCUGCCAAGGUGAACAGAUUCAGGCACCCAAUCCAUUAUCCUGUCAACAACAGCAGGUCCCUGCCACAGUUAGCAGCAACACUGGCCGUAAUGAAAUCAUCAGUAAUCCCAAAACUCAUCUUAUCAUACCCAAGGUACAAGUUCUUAUCUUUUCUCGGACUGUAUGAUACCAUGACAAAACAGUUAAACAACAGGCUGUGGACACCAGUGGAAGACACAGGCUGUAGUCUUCAACAGUGAAUUACCUGUAGUACAUUUGCCUGCAGCUUCUACCAACAGAUACAUUUGUGCCAAAAUACAGAAAUACAGUUUGAUUGGAUGGAACCUUUACAUGAACAACAAAAUAUGAACAGAACUAUGACCCUUUUUUGUGUCCCGACCCACCAGUUGCACAACAGUUACAGGUGAGAGAGAGAGUCGCUUUGUGAUUGGCUGCCCUUCUGCUCCAUAUUCAGAGGUGCUGGAUGAGGCAGAGUGCCCGCAGGGAAAAUGGCGUUGUAAUCAGGAGCCGGCUGUGCUGCCUGAUCAGAGGGUUUCAGGAGGAAGGAUUGCUGGAAGAGAUCAGCGGGACUCACUGAGUGGGCAGAGAAAAAUAGCCAGGCCAGUGAAGAUGGAUGGGUGACAGUCCCAUUGGUCACAGCGAUUCAGCACUCAGUCACCACGGAGACAAGCAGUGAAACCAGGAUUGCUGAAAGCCAAAUGAUUUGUGCUGUGAAAAAAAUUUAUAUUUUAGAUCAUUUUCUUAAACAUAAUUUAAUUUAUCAUGUAAAGUAAUGGAGCUUAAGCACAUUAAAUAAAUGCUCACCAUCAAAAUGGUGAUGUGAUAAGUUAUUUAAGCUAAAUUUGCAACCCUGUUUUUUAAUUGAAAAUUUAAAAAUGUUAUGCUAAUUUAGUGUUUAUAUCGAUUUAACAUUUUAC
ensembl:lncRNA